CCUACGGGAGGCAGCAGUAGGGAAUCUUCCGCAAUGGACGAAAGUCUGACGGAGCAACGCCGCGUGAACGAUGAAGGCCUUCGGGUCGUAAAGUUCUGUUGUUAGGGAAGAACAAGUGCUAGUUGAAUAAGCUGGCACCUUGACGGUACCUAACCAGAAAGCCACGGCUAACUACGUGCCAGCAGCCGCGGUAAUACGUAGGUGGCAAGCGUUGUCCGGAAUUAUUGGGCGUAAAGCGCGCGCAGGCGGUUUCUUAAGUCUGAUGUGAAAGCCCCCGGCUCAACCGGGGAGGGUCAUUGGAAACUGGGAAACUUGAGUGCAGAAGAGGAAAGUGGAAUUCCAAGUGUAGCGGUGAAAUGCGUAGAGAUUUGGAGGAACACCAGUGGCGAAGGCGACUUUCUGGUCUGUAACUGACGCUGAGGCGCGAAAGCGUGGGGAGCAAACAGGAUUAGAUACCCUGGUAGUCCACGCUGUAAACGAUGAGUGCUAAGUGUUAGAGGGUUUCCGCCCUUUAGUGCUGAAGUUAACGCAUUAAGCACUCCGCCUGGGGAUACGGUCGCAAGACUGAAACUUAAGGAAUUGACGG
rnacentral:rRNA from 1 species